rnacentral:lncRNA from 1 species
CUUUUUUGUUGUAUGGUCUUGCACUACUGUUUCUUUUCAAGUUCUGCUUUCCUGGGCCUCCUUUCUCCCUGUUCCUUAUUAGAGUGCUGAGGCUCAUUGGAGUCAAACCCAUUAACUUUGCCAUGGUUUUCAAUCAAGGCCUUUGCAAAAUGCCCAGUCCCACAAUGGCUUUAAUGGAAAAUAUAGAUUGCUUCAUAUUUGAUUUAGACCUCACCCCUGUGCUUGUUUGCUUUUUUCCCCCCUCAGGUUAUCAAGCUUUGCAUGAUUCUUCUCAGUCUUUUCUUAGCAUAAGCAUGUGAGCUGGACAAUUGCUCUGCCUCUAAUUAUUUCUGCCCUGCACUGAAAGUCAUUAAUGUUAUUCCUGGUGACUGCAGCUGAAAAUGAAAACAUUCCGUGGAAAAACCCAGGGUCUGCUGGAGUUAAGGAAAAACUCCUCUUGAAUGAACAUUUUCUCCUACUCAUCUGGGCAUGCAGGUCCAAAUGUAAUUAAUAAUUAGAUCCUCUUUGUCUCCAGCCCAUCUUUACUGGAAAUACCAAUAGUCUUUAAUGGAAAUAGUACCAGCAGUUAAAGCAUGGGAGUGUAACACCACAUGUGACAAGGGACAGUCUGGUUGGGAGGGGCAGGAUGGGCUUUUCCUGCACCAGAGGUGAUUGCUGUGUGUGUCCCUUACAGGUGCCUCACUGCAGGGAGGAAGGAAGGAAGGACACCCAGGAUGAAGAGGCAGGAGGUGCCUGUGCAGGUGGGAUUGUUCCCAAAGAGAUUUGGCUGUUCCUGAGGCUGCAGCUGAAGGAGGCACUGCCCUUCUCCAGCCCCCGAAGAGCAUCUGGAGGAGUGGAGUUUUCUGCAUCACGGAUCCCAUCAUCCCAAGCUGGAGCUGUGAGUGCAAAGGUGAGAUUUGCCUGCCUGGCCAAAUGUCCUUGCUGUCCAUUGUGGCUCUGGCUCUGGCUCCCUGUGUGCUGGAGAGCACAGCCACCUGUGCCUUGUUUUGACAAUGAAAAUGCCAAGCACCUGUUGUUGCCGUGUCACUGCAGCAGGGAUUGGGGCAGCUUGGGCUGUAGGAGGCUGGCUCAGACCGGGCAAGGCACCAAAAAUUUGCCUUUCCUUCCCAGAGCUUCACCUGUGCUGGCAUGUUGA